rnacentral:rRNA from 1 species
CAGCCCCUCGAGUGGUGGGGAUGAUUAUUUGGCCUAAAGCGUCCGUAGCCGACCGAGCAAGUCUUCCGUUAAAUCCAGCGUCUCAAGCGUUGGACCGCGGGAGAUACUACACGGCUAGAGAGUGGGAGAGGUCAGCGGUAUUCUGGGGGUAGGGGCGAAAUCCUUUGAUCCCCGGAGGACCACCAGUGGCGAAGGCUGCUGACUAGAACACGUCUGACGGUCAGGGACGAAAGCUGGGGUAGCGAACCGGAUUAGAUACCCGAGUAGUCC